AAUAAUGAUUUGUCUUCUUUUCUCAACAGUAUCUCGGUACUUGGUAUGAAAUAAAGUCAACCAAACCUUAUUUUGAAGAUGGUCAACGUUGUAUCAAAGCUGACUACAAGUUUGACACAACUACUGGUAUUUUUGUUACUAACAGCACUGGCUUUGAUUCAGUUAACAAAACAGUUUCACGAGUUCAAUUUGCCAAAUCAUAUGAUCAGGACAAUGUUUUCACAGCCAAAUACUUUUUAGGUUCCGGUUAUUAUCUUACUACACAAUAUUGGGUUGUUGACACUGAUUACAAUAAUUAUGCUCUGGUUGUUUCAUGUAACGACCUCUUUGGUCUCGCAAGCUCUCGUGAUGUUUGGAUACUUUCAAGGAAACCAACAUUAGACGACGAUAUUGUCACAAAUCUGGUUGCUGAAUUAGACACGGUUGGAAUUCAUGGCAGUAAACUCGGUGACAUGAUCCAGAAUUGUUGAUUUAAAUGAUACAAUAAGCUAUUACUGAUAUUUCUGCGCUAUUGAUCCUAAUCUCCGAACAAAACUUACCUAUCAAGCUUUAAAAAAUUAUCCUCUUUGUUGUUGGAAAUGCUGUAUUUUGAAACCUAAGCAUAAUAAUAAACAUUACUUAGCAUUAAA